UUUUUCUUCGGUUUUUUUUAGGUUAUGUUCAAUAUAGUACAAUCUUCAAUGCAUGAUAUUAAUAAGUGUCUUUGCGAUAGGGUUUGAGAUGAACAAUUAAUUAUAAAAUUUUUAUAAUUUUAAUGAGGUUAUUUUUAGGAAUUAAGAGUUAAAAUUGAAAUCUGUUAACGCUAAAAUAAUAAUUAAUCACCGUCAACCAACUUAUACGGUAAACAAUAUUAUUUUAGCUUAUUUCAACAGACAAUAAAUUUUGUUCUAUGUAAUUCUAAACAGUUUUUUUUCAAUCCAUGUCAAGCUUGAAAAUCAAACAAUAAAUUAAAAUCAUGGUGAUUAAAUGUAGCGCUUAUGGAUGCAUCAAUCAGCCCACUCUUCUAAACAAUAUUGCUUUUUUCAAGUUUCCUUUUUACAACACGGAGCUUCUCGCCAAAUGGUUGUCAGCCAUACGAAGGACAGGUUUCCUAGCAAAUAGGUACUCGACAAUCUGCAGUGUACAUUUCAAGAACGAAGACUUGCUGAUGGUUCCAGGAGAGAAAAAGCCGAGGCUCCGCGAAUGGGCAGUGCCUUCUAUAUUUCCAGGGGGUGUCCUACACUGUUAAGCAAGAUCCACUAGAACUAGAGAGCUUUCCAGAAACGCGCGAAGUCGCGACGCAAACUAGACACUCCGCCAGAAGAGAAAUUAUUGUCGCCGGAGCCAAAUUAUUGCGGAAACAAGAUGACGGCACACAGACGUCAAAGAAAUACUACACUUCAUUAAUGUCAGCUAGUAAAAUGAGGCAGAAAGUCAGAAUCAAGCAGAAGGCAGUGAACAGAAAAUGCAAACGGAUUCUAAAAUUAAAAAAUAAAAUGGAUGAAAUUGGGAUAGUAAAUUCUGAGAUUGACAAGCUUGUAAUGGAAGUUUGUCUUGGCAAAACUGAUGGAACAUGAUGAAAAGCCGGAGGUGGUUUGGUGAUUUAAAGUUUGCUUUGCUCAACAAACUGAAACUUACUCAGCAGGAACAUACUAUGACUACCGCAUCUGUCGACUGAGAGUGCCUGGAUAUACUGAAUCUUCAAUAUGAAUGUGAAUUUCAGAACAUUCAUCCAAUCAAAUUUAUUUGAUUAUUAUCCUAUAAAGACGAAUGAAUUGGAUAAAUGGCUACUAGACGAAAGCAGUGAGCAUAUUCUGUUGUGAAGGUGUGCUUAAUUUGAAUCUGUAUUUAGUUGAGAACAAUAAAUUCAUAACGUAAAAUAUUACUAUUAUAUUCAAAAAGAAGCCCUGUUGCAGUAAGCCUGUUCAAGUUUUAGCCAAAAUAACCAAUCAGAGAAUAAUUUUUUUCAAAGAGUCUUCUCUGAUUAGUCUUUUGGAAUUUAAUCGUGAUACAAUCUACAUUUAAGUUCACAAUCUAACAGGCUUUUGUGCAACCGGGUUUAAGACAUUCAAGUGAGUUUGUGUAAAGAGGAAGUUUAUGGAAAUAUUUUAAAAAUCUAGAUUGCCUGGUUUCAAAAGACUGUGUAGAGCUAGUUGUCAAGAAUGUGAUAUUUUCUGUAAUAAAUUGUUGACUGUCA